rnacentral:rRNA from 1 species
CCUACGGGAUGCACCAGUGGGGAAUAUUGGACAAUGGGCGAAAGCCUGAUCCAGCAAUGCCGCGUGUGUGGAGAAGGUCUUCGGAUUGUAAGGCACUCUCGACGGGGACGAUGAUGACGGUACCCGUAGAAGAAGCCCCGGCUAACUUCGUGCCAGCAGCCGCGGUAAUACGAAGGGGGCUAGCGUUGCUCGGAAUAACUGGGCGUAAAGGCGCGUAGGCGGUUUAUGCAGUCAGAUGUAAAAUCCCCGGGCUUAACCUGGGAACUGCAUUUGAGACGCAUAGACUAGAGGUCGAGAGAGGGUUGUGGAAUUCCCAGUGUAGAGGUGAAAUUCGUAGAUAUUGGGAAGAACACCGGUGGCGAAGGCGGCAACCUGGCUCGAUACUGACGCUGAGGCGCGAAAGCGUGGGGAGCAAACAGGAUUAGAUACCCGCGUAGUC